rnacentral:rRNA from 1 species
AGUGGCGGACGGGUGAGUAACACGUGAGCAAUCUGCCUUUCAGAGGGGGAUACCGAUUGGAAACGAUCGUUAAUACCGCAUAACAUAAUUGAACCGCAUGAUUUGAUUAUCAAAGAUUUAUCGCUGAAAGAUGAGCUCGCGUCUGAUUAGCUAGUUGGUAAGGUAACGGCUUACCAAGGCGACGAUCAGUAGCCGGACUGAGAGGUUGAUCGGCCACAUUGGGACUGAGACACGGCCCAGACUCCUACGGGAGGCAGCAGUGGGGAAUAUUGCACAAUGGAGGAAACUCUGAUGCAGCGAUGCCGCGUGAGGGAAGAAGGUUUUAGGAUUGUAAACCUCUGUCUUCAGGGACGAAAAAAGACGGUACCUGAGGAGGAAGCUCCGGCUAACUACGUGCCAGCAGCCGCGGUAAUACGUAGGGAGCGAGCGUUGUCCGGAAUUACUGGGUGUAAAGGGAGCGUAGGCGGGAUCGCAAGUCAGAUGUGAAAACUAUGGGCUUAACCCAUAAACUGCAUUUGAAACUGUGGUUCUUGAGUGAAGUAGAGGUAAGCGGAAUUCCUAGUGUAGCGGUGAAAUGCGUAGAUAUUAGGAGGAACAUCAGUGGCGAAGGCGGCUUACUGGGCUUUAACUGACGCUGAGGCUCGAAAGCGUGGGGAGCAAACAGGAUUAGAUACCCUGGUAGUCCACACCGUAAACGAUGAUUACUAGGUGUGGGGGGACUGACCCCUUCCGUGCCGCAGCAAACGCAAUAAGUAAUCCACCUGGGGAGUACGACCGCAAGGUUGAAACUCAAAGGAAUUGACGGGGGCCCGCACAAGCAGUGGAGUAUGUGGAUUAAUUCGAAGCAACGCGAAGAACCUUACCAGGUCUUGACAUCGUAUGCAUAGCUCAGAGAUGAGUGAAAUCUCUUCGGAGACAUAUAGACAGGUGGUGCAUGGUUGUCGUCAGCUCGUGUCGUGAGAUGUUGGGUUAAGUCCCGCAACGAGCGCAACCCUUACUGUUAGUUGCUACGCAAGAGCACUCUAGCAGGACUGCCGUUGACAAAACGGAGGAAGGUGGGGAUGACGUCAAAUCAUCAUGCCCCUUAUGACCUGGGCCUCACACGUACUACAAUGGCUGUCAACAGAGGGAAGCAAAGCCGCGAGGUGGAGCGAACCCCUAAAAGCAGUCUUAGUUCGGAUUGUAGGCUGCAACCCGCCUACAUGAAGUCGGAAUUGCUAGUAAUCGCAGAUCAGCAUGCUGCGGUGAAUACGUUCCCGGGCCUUGUACACACCGCCCGUCACGCCAUGGGAGUCGGUAACACCCGAAG